GACGAACGCUGGCGGCGUGCUUAAUACAUGCAAGUCGAACGGAAAGGGCCUGUUCUUGUGGGAUGCUCGAGUGGCGAACGGGUGAGUAUCACGUGAGUAACCUGCGCUUGAGUUUGGGAUAACUUCAGGAAACUGGGGCGAAUACCGGAUAGAAGCUCCUGCAGCAUGGUGGUGGUGUGUAAGUUUCGGCGUUGGGGGAUGGAAUCGAGGCGUAUCGGCUUGUUGGCGGGGUAGUGGCGUACCAAGGCAUUGAGGGGUAGCUGGCUUGAGAGGGUGACAGGCCCCAUUGGCCCUCGGGUACGGGCCAGACGCCUUCGGGGGCCAGGGGUGGGAAUUUGUCCAAGAUGGGCGGCAGCCGGAUGCAGCAACGCCGGGUCCGAGAUGACGGCCUGCGGAUUGUAAAGCGCGUGCGCCUGUGACGAAGAGUGAGUGACGGUAAUGGGUAAAGAAGCACCGGCUAACUACGUG
rnacentral:rRNA from 1 species